UUUUAUCGUUGAAUCAUCGCACAACAAGGCAGUUGCGAAUGCAAUAUCUGUUGU
rnacentral:sRNA from 1 species